AGUUCGGAUUGUAGGCUGAAACUCGCCUACAUGAAGCUGGAGUUACUAGUAAUCGCAGAUCAGAAUGCUGCGGUGAAUGCGUUCCCGGGUCUUGUACACACCGCCCGUCACACCACGGAAGUUGGGGGCGCCCGAAGCCACUUAGCUAACCCAUUUGGGAAGCGAGUGUCGAAGGUGAAAUCAAUAACUGGGGUGAAGUCGUAACAAGGUAUC
rnacentral:rRNA from 1 species